UACAGAGGGGGCGAGCGUUAUUCGGAAUUAUUGGGCGUAAAGGGCGCGUAGGCGGCUUUUCAAGUGACGGGUGAAAUCCCUCGGCUUAACCGAGGAACUGCCUGUCAGACUGUAAGGCUUGAGACCGGGAGAGGUGAGUGGAAUUCCCAGUGUAGCGGUGAAAUGCGUAGAUAUUGGGAGGAACACCAGUGGCGAAGGCGGCUCACUGGACCGGUACUGACGCUGAGGCGCGAAAGCGUGGGGAGCAAACAGG
rnacentral:rRNA from 1 species